rnacentral:rRNA from 1 species
GACGAACGCUGGCGGCGUGCCUAAUACAUGCAAGUCGAACGAGAGCGACCGGUGCUUGCACUGUUCAAUCUAGUGGCGAACGGGUGAGUAACACGUGGGUAACCUGCCCAUCAGAGGGGGAUAACAUCCGGAAACGGAUGCUAAAACCGCAUAGGUCUUCGAGCCGCAUGGCUUGAAGAGGAAAAGAGGCGCAAGCUUCUGCUGAUGGAUGGACCCGCGGUGCAUUAGCUAGUUGGUGAGGUAACGGCUCACCAAGGCCGUGAUGCAUAGCCGACCUGAGAGGGUGAUCGGCCACAUUGGGACUGAGACACGGCCCAAACUCCUACGGGAGGCAGCAGUAGGGAAUCUUCCGCAAAGGACGCAAGUCUGACGGAGCAACGCCGCGUGAGUGAAGAAGGUUUUCGGAUCGUAAAACUCUGUUGUUAGAGAAGAACAAGUGCUAGAGUAACUGUUAGCGCCUUGACGGUAUCUAACCAGAAAGCCACGGCUAACUACGUG